rnacentral:lncRNA from 1 species
AUGGAGAAAGGGGCAGAGACUGUGAUCAAGAGGCAGGAAGAAAAGCAAGGGCUAGACAAGCAGCAACGGUGGCAGGAAGGAGAGGUAUGGGAGGAGCAGCCAACACAGAGGACUCUGACGCAUUCUGACCAACACGAGAAGCAGAGGCAAACGGGAAAGGAGCAAGAACAGAAGCCCAAGCAGCAAGAGCUGGAAGCAGGGAAGCAAACAAUGAACCAGCAAGAGGUGGUCCCGAAGAAGAAUGAGGAGAAGCUGAGCCAGGGCCUGAAGACAGAGACAGCUGGAGCUGAACACAAACGCCGCUCCCCCCUUCACCAAGUCCUCACCACCUGGAGCCCUGCCCGCUUACCCAAAAGCCCAUCCAAAGUACAAAACUCUUACUCUUCUGAAAACCCAGGCCCUGACGACCACUGUGACCCCCCAGCAGGCCCAGACCCUGACAACCACUCUAACCCACAGCAGGCCCAGGCCCUGGGGAAAAACUAUGACCUCCUAGCAGGCCCAUGCCGUGGGUACCACUCUGACCACCCAGCAGGCAGAAACCCUGGGGACCACUCUGACCCAUCAGCAGGCACAGGCCCUGGAGAUCACUCUAAUCCCCAAGCAGGCCCAGGUACUGGGGAAAACACUGACCACCCAGCAGGCCCAAGCCCUGGGGACCACUCUUACCCAUCAGCAGGCCCAGGCCCUGGGGACCACUCUUACCCAUCAGCAGGCCCAGGCCCUGGGGACCACUCUCACCCAUCAGCAGGCCCAGUCCAUGGGGACCACUCUGAGCCCUCAGCAAGCACAGUCUCUGGGGAACACUCUGACUCCCUAGCAAGCCCAGGACCUGGGGAUCACAGUUCACCCUCAGCAAACACAGGCUCUGGGGACCACUCUGACCCCCCCCCCCAAAAAAAAGCCAAGGCUAUAAGGCCUCUAACCCCUCAGUUGGCCCAGGCUGCGGGGACUAUGACUCCUCAGCAGGCCCCGGCCCUGAGGACCACUCUGGCCUCUCACCACACUCAGACUCAGGGGGCCCACCUUACCCCUGACACGGCCCCUCCUACUCCAGGGCAGCCCCUUGAGCUGGAGGCAGUGAGGCCUAAGCAGGACUUUCCUCAAACUGCCCGGCCACCUCCAGCAAUGAAGGCCCCGCUCACUCCCAGGUGGCCUAUUCGAUCUGGAACAACAUCCACCUCUACAAAGAGCCCAGUUCUCCAUGGUCCUCUCUCUCCUGGCCAGUCCUUGGCUCCUGGUCUGUCUUCCUUCCCUGGAAAGCUCUUGGAGUCUGGAACCUCCUCUGCACAGCCUCCUGUCUCCACUGGGAAGCCCCCCUCUCUCCAGGACCCUUCUGCCCUUGCGCAGCUUCUGGCACCACUGACCCUCCCUGGGGAAGCUUUCCCACCAAGGAUCCCUCCCACAUCCUGGCAUGCUCCAGGGUAUGGUCACCCUAAGUCCCUGGAAUGCCCCAAGAAAGGCAUGUCCUCCUCUGCCAGGAAGAAAAGAUUGGCAAGAUUUCUUCUCUGA